CCUACGGGAGGCAGCAGUGGGGAAUAUUGGACAAUGGGGGGAACCCUGAUCCAGCCAUGCCGCGUGUGUGAAGAAGGCCCUCGGGUUGUAAAGCACUUUCAGUGAGGAAGAACGCCUGGUGGUUAAUACCCAUCAGGAAAGACAUCACUCACAGAAGAAGCACCGGCUAACUCCGUGCCAGCAGCCGCGGUAAUACGGAGGGUGCGAGCGUUAAUCGGAAUUACUGGGCGUAAAGCGCGCGUAGGUGGCUUGAUAAGCCGGUUGUGAAAGCCCCGGGCUCAACCUGGGAACGGCAUCCGGAACUGUCAAGCUAGAGUGCAGGAGAGGAAGGUAGAAUUCCCGGUGUAGCGGUGAAAUGCGUAGAGAUCGGGAGGAAUACCAGUGGCGAAGGCGGCCUUCUGGACUGACACUGACACUGAGGUGCGAAAGCGUGGGUAGCAAACAGGAUUAGAUACCCAGUAGUC
rnacentral:rRNA from 1 species